UGUGGUUUUCACCAUUUGCCUU
rnacentral:siRNA from 1 species